UAUAUUCAUGAGAACUACAGCCGGG
rnacentral:piRNA from 1 species